CUCCAUCCCACCGCUCUGGUCCUCCGCGGCCGGACCCCAUCCCGUGCGCCUCCUUCCAAAUCCCUUCCCCCUCAGAUCCGCGGCCCUCUCCUCAACCUCUGUAUCCAAGGAGCUCGAGCACCUCAACAUGCUCAUCCGCCGCAUGAAGUUUGGCGCCGCCGUGGCCCCGGCCCCCGCCCCUCUUCCCGAGCUGAGGUGGCCUUGAGCGGCAUGUCCGAGGAGCAGCUGUAUGGGGAGACGCCGCGCCAAGCCCAUCCUCCUGACUUGCAACUCAAGCCUUCGGCCGUGGAUGGUCUUCACCACGGAGCAGCGGAUCUACGCUUGAAGAUCUCUACUGCAUGAGAUAGACACCAAGGAAUGGAGAUUGCUGCAGAGAAAGCUUGUUCAGAUCAGCCACAUACAUGGUGGAGGUGUUCGUUGGUAAGAUGUUUUGGACUACACUGCUGGUAAGAUGUUCGAUGAAAUGUCCCUAGCACGGUAAGCACCACAAAUUCUGUCAGAGAUAUGCAGCUGGAUGCUCUCUUUGAUUGCAUGCAUAGACAUGGAUUUAAUUUACUUUCACACAAGUUCUUUACCUGCAACCAUAUUUCUGGGAAUGCAAUACUUGUCGUUUAUAUUAACUUCCAUAUAAUGCAUUAAGUUUUAUUGUAGUCACUAAUAAGUUCUGGACAAUUGCCAAAGUAUAUCAUUGUCAUUUUAUUUGCAGUCCCUUGUUCAUCAAUAACAGGUGAAGUUAUAGGUUGUAUAUUUCCUCUAACCAGGAUUAUUUGUUUCUUCUGUUAUAUUUCCUUGUAUGUCAGUUCUCAAUGUCUAUUGCAUGAAAGCAUGCUUCCCUGAGUAGCUAUCAUUGUUUCCAUGUCAAAUCAAAUGCUAGCCUUGAAUGGAAUUUAAGAAAUGUGGAUAAUCAAAUGCUAUAUCGGAUCAGUUCUAUAAUUUGCAAGCAUUGUGUCGUACACAGUGGUAUUCUUUCUUGCUGGUCCACUCAAAUUUAAAUUGUGGCCAAUAUUGGCCAGCAUGGCUUUCCUCUUUGUUUCAACAAUUAGCAUGUCAGAUAUUCAUUCAAAUGUCUAACUGAACCUAUAGAACAAGAAUUCAAAUCUUGCCUUUUCAUGAGAUAGGAAAACAAUAUGCAAAAGAUAGUUAAGCCUUCAUGAUUGUGCAAGACAGUGAAGCCUUACCUCUUGUCAGUAUUGAUCUCAGUUUAUUAUCAGCCUGUAUCUUUGUAGGUUUUCAAUGCAGGAAGUUCUUUAAGCAAGAUGACUCCAAGGUCUUUUCUUGCUUAUGCUGGAAGGGACAAAGGCAAUAAUUUGAACUAGAUUGGCCUUGAUGGUACUGCCUGGAAAAGUCAAGACUUGUGAGAUGCAAAACUUGAGCUUCUGCUAAAUAAAAUUCGUAGUUCUGUGUAUAUAUUUGCUGGAAGCUGUUUUUUUUUUUGUUUUUCAGAAUUGUGAGAUGUGCUAGAUUAACUAGAGUUACACUGAUUUCAUGCUGAAUUAAAACAUAGUAUGGAGCAUAUCUUUUCUUGCAAAAGUUAUUAAUGCAAGUAGUCCUCCAUUCAAAGUUGAUGAUCCUGUGACAUGCUUAUAGAUCAAUGGUUAGCAGGACAAUCCUGUUGCUUACUCAACAGUAACCUACAUGCUUAUAUGGGAAGGCAGAUAAUGUCCUAGAAACCUGCAGUAACUGAUAACAUAGCAGAUCACAUAGACUAGAAUUCGGCAAAAAAGCUAUAAGUUGUCUCAAUUCAUGAAUUGCUAAUUAAGGAACUGCUGGCUAACAAUUGACAGACCAUACACGACGAUAAC